rnacentral:lncRNA from 1 species
UUUAAAGGAAUUUUUUUAAUUUCUUCUUUCUAAAGGCAAGGCUAAGCCAUCCGCCCUUCAUUGCAGGGUAAAAGGGGAGACGGUUCCCAAGGGGUGGCUAGUUCGAGUAAGAGAGACAGAUACAGAUAAGGUCCUUUUUUCUGAGAGACCCGCUCUUGACUUUAAUCAUACCCACUAGUAAGCGCAGUGGAUGCUCCUUCAUACAGGGCACAGAGAGGCAAGUGAUGGGCACUACUCAUCAUAAGAAAGCAGUCAUGCAGAUAGAAAGAGUAAAACAAUGACUCUGACUAAG